rnacentral:ncRNA from 2 species
AAUAAAUAUUUCGGGAGCUUGUGUGCAGGCUGAGAGGAAACAAAAGUUUCGACCGUACCUGAUUUGGGUAAUGCCAACGUAGGGAAUAACAUUGAUGAAAAUUU